rnacentral:rRNA from 1 species
GAUGAACGCUGGCGGCGUGCUUAACACAUGCAAGUCGAACGGUAAAGCCCUGCUUGCUUGGUGGGCUAGAGGGGCACGCGUGUGUAACACGUGAGAAUAACGUGCUCUUGCCUGGGAGAUGCCUGCAAAACAGGGGCUAAUAUACGAGAGCAGCGCCCACCCUGCGUGGGGCGUUGGGAAGAGUUGGCGGUUUUGGAUGGACUCGCGGCGUAUCAGCUUGUUGGUGUGGUAGUGGCUCACCAAGGGGACGACGGGUAGCCGGCCUGAGAGGGUGACCGGCCACACUGGGACUGAGACACGGCCCAGACUCCUACGGGAGGCAGCAGUGGGGAAUAUUGCACAAUGGGCGGAAGCCUGAUGCAGCAACGCCGCGUGAGGGAUGACGGCCUUCGGGUUGUAAACCGCUUUCGGUUGUGACGAAGCGUGAGUGACGGUAACGGCUGAAGAAGCACCGGCUAACUACGUG